rnacentral:rRNA from 1 species
UACGUAGGGUGCGAGCGUUAAUCGGAAUUACUGGGCGUAAAGCGUGCGCAGGCGGUUUUGUAAGUCAGAUGUGAAAUCCCCGGGCUCAACCUGGGAACUGCGUUUGAAACUACAAGGCUAGAGUAUGGUAGAGGGGGGUAGAAUUCCACGUGUAGCAGUGAAAUGCGUAGAGAUGUGGAGGAAUACCAAUGGCGAAGGCAGCCCCCUGGACUAAUACUGACGCGCAUGCACGAAAGCGUGGGGAGCAAACAGG